CUAAAGGCCAGAGGAGAAUCGCUCUGACUGGGAAUGUACUUCAGGGCAGACAAUCACCCAACAUCCUUUAUUCACUGGAAAACCAUGUGCCAGCUCCCUCACUUUUUUUGGUACCAUUGAGGUUUGAAUCCAGGGCCUUCCCACUGAGCUACAUUUCCCAGGCCCCACCACCACCUGUUUUUGGACAGUCUUCCUAUGUAAUUCAGGCUGACCUUGAACUCCCAGGGAUCCUCCUGCCUCAGCCUCCUGCAUGCUGAGAUCACUAGCGUGAGCCAUCACACUCAGCCCUAUACUGGCAUCUUCUAGGCCCAGAACACUGGAUGGAGAGAAUAGACAAGCAAGUGGGAGGAUCUGAACCCCACCCUGGGCUGGAGGAGGGGGCGGGAGCCCUAGUGAUGCCGCCUAAGGAGGAUGAGGGAGCAGUAGGAAGGGAACCCAGGGGGACCAGGGCUUGGGGGAGUGUUGGAAGGAUUUAGGCUGAGCCUGGCUCUCCCCGUGGAGGAGGGUGGAAUGGGCAGCGCCGUUGCCUUGGUAACCCCUAAACAAUCCUUAGCCAUUGAGGGAAGGUCUUUGGGGCGUGUCUUGGAGACAGUGCGGGGCGCUGAUUGGCUCCGAGUGGCUUUGGGGUCGUGUCCGUGAGUGGAGCACAGCGACGGUUGGCUGGCCGCCGCAGAGGGGGCGGGCACAGACAGCCAGGGAGGGCUAUGGCGCAUGCGCGAGCGCUCAGGGACCAGGGCCCGGGCUGGGUACUGAUGAGGACUCUGUGCUCCUCCCCCGGCUGAGGAGGGAACGGAGCAUCCCUGGAUGUUGGUAUCCAUGGGGGGAAAGGGUGCUGGAUACGACGCCCAGGGUACCAAGGCAGCUGGACUAGAAACUCCCCAGCGCAGCCUGCUGGAUUAGCAGCCUACAAGGGAGCAGACAGCGGCCAUGGACGAGGCUUCCGCAUCUGUUUCUCACCUGGCCGCUCUCUCUGGACAUGCUGUUCCUUCAUAAUCUUGGGGGCAGCUAAGCUCAGCUAUCCACCAAGAAAGAAUUUCAUUUCAAGCACUGGGUUAGGUGCCCUCAACCAAAAAUAUGUUUAAGGAAAACAAGUCUCGUGUGUGUGAGUGUGAUUUUGAGACAGAGUCUCACUCUGAAGCCCAGGUUGCCCUCAAACUCAUGGCAAUCCUCCUGCCUCAGCCUCCCCAGUACUGGGAUGACAGCUGUGCCCACCAUGCCAGGCCCUUUCUGCCAGUCUGACAUCUGUAGCUUGUGCCUUUUCCUCGAUCUUGUGCAAUCUGCCUUUGCCCAGACAGUGUGCCCAGAAAAGUGCUGGCCAGGAGUCUGCACAGUGAAGAAGCGAGGACCAUGCUCCCAGCACCCAAGUCUCCCUGGGUGCAGCUGCAGGGAGCCUGGAGGAGACAGAGGAGCAGGGCUUCCCUACACCCCAGGGGAGAGGGACAGACCUCAGUGUUGGGUUCUGAGGAGCAUUUCUGAUCAGGAGAGAGGCGAGC
ensembl:lncRNA